AUUGAACGCUGGCGGCAUGCCUUACACAUGCAAGUCGAACGGCAGCGCGGACUUCGGUCUGGCGGCGAGUGGCGAACGGGUGAGUAAUACAUCGGAACGUACCCUGUUGUGGGGAUAACUAGUCGAAAGAUUAGCUAAUACCGCAUACGACCUGAGGGUGAAAGUGGGGGACCGCAAGGCCUCACGCAGCAGGAGCGGCCGAUGUCUGAUUAGCUAGUUGGUGGGGUAAAGGCCCACCAAGGCGACGAUCAGUAGCUGGUCUGAGAGGACGAUCAGCCACACUGGGACUGAGACACGGCCCAGACUCCUACGGGAGGCAGCAGGUGGGAAUUUUGGACAAUGGGGGCAACCCUGAUCCAGCAAUGCCGCGUGUGUGAAGAAGGCCUUCGGGUUGUAAAGCACUUUUGUCCGGAAAGAAAUCGCGCUGGUUAAUACCUGGCGUGGAUGACGGUACCGGAAGAAUAAGCACCGGCUAACUACGUGCCAGCCGCCGCAGUAA
rnacentral:rRNA from 1 species